rnacentral:rRNA from 1 species
UAACUCCGGGAAACCGGGGCUAAUACCGGAUAACAUUUUGAACCGCAUGGUUCUAAAUUGAAAGGCGGCUUCGGUUGUCCCUUAUGGAUGGACCCCCGUGGCAUUAUAUAGUUGGGGAGGGAACGGGUCCCCAAGGUGACGAUGCGUAACCAACCUGAGAGGGGGAUCUGACACACUGGGACUGAGACACGGGCCAGACUCCUAGGGGAGGCUUGAAUAGGGAAUCUUCCGCAAUGGACGAAAUUCUGACGGAGCAACGCCGCGUGAGUGAUGAAAGCUUUCUGGUCGUAAAACUCUGUUGUUAGGGAAAAACAAGUGCUAGUUGAAUAAGCUGGCACCUUGACGGUACCUAACCAAAAAGCCACGGCUAACUACGUGCCAGCAACCGCGGUAAUACGUAGGGGGCAAGCGGUAUCCGGAAUUAUUGGGCGUAAAGCGCGCGCAGGUGGUUUCUUAAGUCUGAUGUGAAAGCCCACGGCUCAACCGUGGAGGGUCAUUGGAAACUGGGAGACUUGAGUGCAGAAGAGGAGAGUGGAAUUCCAUGUGUAGCGGUGAAAUGCGUAGAGAUAUGGAGGAACACCAGUGGCGAAGGCGACUUUCUGGUCUGUAACUGACACUGAGGCGCGAAAGCGUGGGGAGCAAACAGGAUUAGAUACCCUGGUAGUCCACGCCGUAACGAUGAGUGCUAAGUGUUAGAGGGUUUGCG